rnacentral:rRNA from 1 species
AAGGAAUAUUGGACAAUGGGCGCAAGCCUGAUCCAGCCAUGCCGCGUGCAGGAUGACGGCCCUAUGGGUUGUAAACUGCUUUUAUACGGGAAAAAACCCCUCUACGUGUAGAGGGCUGAUGGUACCGUAAGAAUAAGGAUCGGCUAACUCCGUGCCAGCAGCCGCGGUAAUACGGAGGAUCCGAGCGUUAUCCGGAUUUAUUGGGUUUAAAGGGUGCGUAGGCGGAUUUGUAAGUCAGUGGUGAAAUCCUGCAGCUUAACUGUAGAACUGCCAUUGAUACUGCAAGUCUUGAGUACAUAUGAUGUGGGCGGAAUGUGUAGUGUAGCGGUGAAAUGCUUAGAUAUUACACAGAACACCAAUUGCGAAGGCAGCUCACAAAACUGUAACUGACGCUGAGGCACGAAAGCGUGGGGAGUGAAC